rnacentral:tRNA from 1 species
GGGGUUGUGGCUCAGAGGUAAAGCACUUGCCUACCAUGCAUGAAGCACUGGGUUCGAUCCUCAGCACCA